AGGACUUGUGUGUUUGUUCAACUGGAGGACAAAGGCAUAAAAGACAGGUACAAAAAAAAUCCUCUUUCGCAACCCUGAACUUGUUGUUCAGUAAGGGUUUUGAUGCAUACAAGAAGGACUAUG
ensembl:snoRNA